CGGCGCCGAUUUCUCCGUCUAUGUCAACACGGCGCAGGAGUUCGAUGGCUCCGACUCGGGCGCGCGGCCGGACGAGGCCGUGUCCUGGGGCAAGAUCCGCGUGGAUGCCACCCCCGUCAAGGUGUACGCCGAUGCCUCGCUCGUGUUCCCGCUGCUCGUGGCAGAGACGUUCGCACGGAGCGCCGACGCCUUCCCGGUGCCCGCGGGGACCCCCAAGGCCUGAGGGACCCCCAGUGCCCAUGGGGACCCCCGAGGCCUGCAGAGACCCCCGAGGCCCGCAUAGACCCCCAAGGCCUGAGGGACCCCUAAUGCCCACGGAGACCUCUGGUGCCUUUGGGGACCCCAAGGCCUGAGGGACCCCCGGUGCCUGUGGGGACCCCGGUGCCUGUGGGGACCCCCAGUGUCCAUGGGCACCCCUGAUGCCCGCAUGGACCCCCAAGGCCUGAGGGACCCCUGGUGUCCAUGGGGACCCCCAGUGCCUGCAGGGACCCCUGAGGCCUGUGGGGACCCCCAAGGCCUGAGGGACCCCCAAGGCCUGAGGGACCCCCAGUGCCUGUGGGGACCCCCGAUGCCCGCAUGGACCCCCGAGGCCUGAGUGACACCCGGUUCCCACAGCGACCCCCAAGGCCUGAAGGACCCCCAGUCUCAGCUCUGGGUGUCUGAGCCCCUCGCAGCUCCCACAGCAUGGGGGGCACUGUGGCGAGUCCCUUUGGGGGGCCCUCAGGGGUUCCCCCACACCUGCACCCCCCUGUCCGCGUGUCCCCCCUCCCGCGGCGCUCGCGUUUAUUUAUUCUGGCCCCCAAUAAAGCACGGCAGGGUCUCCUCA